UAAGUCCCGCAACGAGCGCAACCCUCGCCCUUAGUUGCCAUCAUUCAGUUGGGCACUCUAAGGGGACUGCCGGUGAUAAGCCGAGAGGAAGGUGGGGAUGACGUCAAGUCCUCAUGGCCCUUACGGGCUGGGCUACACACGUGCUACAAUGGUGGUGACAGUGGGCAGCGAGACCGCGAGGUCGAGCUAAUCUCCAAAAGCCAUCUCAGUUCGGAUUGCACUCUGCAACUCGAGUGCAUGAAGUUGGAAUCGCUAGUAAUCGUGGAUCAGAAUGCCACGGUGAAUACGUUCCCGGGCCUU
rnacentral:rRNA from 1 species